ANGUAACACGUGGAUAACCUACCUAUAAGACUGGAUAACUUCGGGAAACCGGAGCUAAUACCGGAUAAUAUAUUGAACCGCAUGGUUCAAUAGUGAAAGACGGUUUUGCUGUCACUUAUAGAUGGAUCCGCGCCGCAUUAGCUAGUUGGUAAGGUAACGGCUUACCAAGGCAGCGAUGCGUAGCCGACCUGAGAGGGUGAUCGGCCACACUGGAACUGAGACACGGUCCAGACUCCUACGGGAGGCAGCAGCC
rnacentral:rRNA from 1 species